CGUUAUGUGACAUUAUUUUUAUUAUGCUAUCACAGAAAGUCAUGUACAUUACACAUAAAUAAUGGCAAAAAUAUGUUUUUAAAGGGUCUCGAGGAUAAUUCUCGAGAAGGGAGUGUUAAUGUAUUUUCCAAAAACCUCAGUGUCUAGUGUCCAUGUUGUACCACUGUGAUCACAGUAUCUAUACAUUGUCAUGAUUCUGUCAGUUGUACGAUUAGCCCCUAGCCACACAAAAAAAAACCUACACACCUUGAAAGAUAACUCGACCACUAUUAUUGGUAAAUAAUUGGUAUUGAAAGUCCCAAAAGACGUGGUGGGUAUUUAAAACCUUUAAGAUAAAGAGACAGAAAAUGAUCUAAAUUUUCACUUUUUCUAAAACAGGAAAAACAGUAUAAAAGAAUUUUUAGCAACAGAAAAACAACGGAUUAGAAUUUAAGAAACUGACCUUUCUAAGGAAAUCUGAGGGGAAAAUCAUCCAACAUCUUUGAAGCAUCUUUCUGACUUUGUUCUCAUAAGAAGAAAGAAAAGAAAAAACUCUAAGAAGAAGAAAGAAAGAAAGAAGAAAGAAAGAACGAGAAAGAAAGAACCGAAAGUAAAACAAGGUAUCCGAAACAAUAGCAUGCUUUUGCUUCUUUUUUCCAGACAGAUUACAUGUAUCAUUCCAAAACCAAAACUGACGACAACAAAAAACUUGGAAGCAAGGGAAUUUCAAAUACAAACCCAAACCGCCUAUUCGUCCAGCAUUAAAAUAUACACAGCACAUCCAGCACACAACAAACUCGUGCACAGAUCGAAGUCAAAUGUUCUCACAGAAACCUGUUAAAGCAUAAACAACAUAUUUAUGCUAACAGAUCAACUAAGAGGGGAAGGAAACCUGAUCAAUCCAAUGAAAAGGACUUACAUGGCGAAACUAGAUCAAAUGAAACCACUUCCUAAUAAACAAACCACAAUAAAUCCACCUGGCCUAAUCCUUGUUCAAAAUAAUAUGAAAACAACUUUAUUAUGUCCAUCUCCAAUAUGGAUGAGUACAAAGAUAAUUCACCUGAAGAAGCCUACACGCCAUGUUACCUCGUCUAUCUUCUUAAGGUCCAGUGAUAUAAAAAUCUGCUAAACAGGAUUCUUCAUGCAUCCCCACCACAACUUACCCAACCAUCGUAACACGAUGGCCAGCAUUUCACAAGGCAGUCUUGCCAAGAUGAGUGCAUUACACUGGCUCAUACCCGCAUUUCACAAGGAUAGUUAAAGCAUGAAAAAAUCAUCAUCUGAUACCAAAGUGAAACCUGAAGACCCAAGCCAACAAGACUAUUUAAGGGAAUAAGAGCUACUUACAAUUCCCGUUCAGAACAGAAGCUGUUUAUUGCGUUAUAUGAGGAGCAAUUUGAUGUAUAAGAAAGUGUUCAAGGACUCAUAAUGUCAUGAUUAUAACCCAUAUAGGUGAAUACUUAAAUCUUACUUUUAAUUUGUAUGAGGGCAGAUGGAAAAAACAGCAGGGUCAGUUUUGGAGAGGGGAGGCAAAAGAGUACCAAGCAAGAAAAAAUACGCAUGCCUAGGGAUGGCCAAUGUGGUUGGGUUCGGGGCGGGUUCGUCCCAACCCUAACCCCACCCCCUUAAGAAAAUCCUCCCCCCACCCCAUCCCAAAUCUGUGACGGGUGGCCAAAACCCCAUCCCCAUUUAUAAAUAAAUCUCCCACCCUGCUCCGUUUAAUAUUUUUUAUGAACGGUAUAAAAACCUAUAUCUCAUUAUGGAUAAGUAUAUUAUGUAUACAUAUAUACAUUAUAUAUAGAGAGAGAGAGAGUAAGAUCUUCCUGAAUAAUUCAAAAAAAGGGAUAAUUUUGACUAUUUACACAUAAUCGGGCAGUUUGGGGUAUUCUGGCCUGAACCCGUCCCCGCCCUGAACCCGAUUCGGGUACAUUUUUUCCCCCAUACCCCACCCUGAACCCGUUUAUCUAGCACUCCAACCCCCCCAAGCGAUCGGGCGGGGCUGGGGGAUCAAUGUUUCGGAGGAAAUUGCCAGCCUUUUGCGCAUGCCCAUCCCACCAACCAGUGGUUGUUAGAGGCACGCGCCCAGCUCAGCCAGGCGCCUGACGUGGGUGAGGCACAACCAUUUCGAUGAGGCGUGCGCCCUCGACGAUUCUCACAUCUACUCGUCGUCGAAACCCAUCUGAUCGCCUUGGCUGAUAGAUCAUCAUCGCAGUUGCAUAAGUUAAGCGCCGCUCCUUCUCUCCUCUUUAUUCUCCCACAAAAAAUUAUUACAACACAGUAUUUUUUCUAUUUUCUAUUUUUUUAACCUUCUUUUUAUUUUUUAUUUUUCUAUUUUUAUUUAUUUAUUAUUUGAUUUUAUUUAUUUUUUUAUGCUAUUAUGUGUAUGAUGAUUGGAUGAUUUGGCUACUUUAAUUAAUUUUUAUAUAUUUUGUAAGACCUUUGUGAUUUGGAUACUUAAUGAUUGCACCUUAUCUCAACUAUUAAACGUCUAUUAUUUUCUUUUUCUUUGUAUAUCAUAAUGGUGUGUCUCGCUUCGACAGUUGCGCACACCACCUCACGCCUGAGGUCCACAGGCUUUUGGCGCCUCUCGCCGUUAAUUAAAAUCGGCACCAAACCUUGUUUGUCUACGCACCUUCUCAGAUUAUAUUAUGACUUAUAUACAAAUAUGAACAAAGGAUACCAGUUCAAUAAAAAACUGAAAUCCUAUUGACAAACAGAAUCCAUAAAUUCCAUAAAACAUAAACAUCAAUUUAAUGUUCUAAGGCUCUAGAAACCAUGAAGUCACAUAUAUUAAACAAAAAGAGGUCAAAGAAAAUGGCAAAAACAUCUGAUUGUUUUCUGUAUAAAAUGCAAAUGAAAAAACGGCCCCUUCUUUAUUCCAUCACUUUUUAGGGACAAUCAUAAAGCAUUGGUUCAAAAAAGAUGAACAUGGUGCAAUUUUUCACAACUCAAAAUAGUUUUAGCAAGCAAUAACCGGAAAUUAAACUGUACUUACAGUAAAAGAAUAAAAGCAGACUGGUUAAAAAAUGCAACAAUGGAAAUCCUAAGAUGCAAGCUUACCAUAGGCUUUCUUUUCACAGUGGGUGCAGCAGGACAAUUGUCGUUUCAUGAUAAUGUCUUCCUUGUUGCAGAAAUAUCAACCUGCAUAUCAUCCAACAGAGCUUUCUCCUCCACCACGGAGCUUCAGUUUUCUCAUUUCUAUCUACCCCUUCAUCAGGAUUAUACAUGGAAUUAUUUGUCUACUUUCCAUGCAUCCUCCUCCAUGGAAUCGUCACCAAAUCCGUUCCAAAUUUAAAAACCUUCUCUGAAGAACCACGUCAGAACUAAUCAUUUUUCUUGCUCAACAUCCCUCUGCAUUAACAGCCUUGUUGUCAUCUCCCUCGUCAACAUACCUCGUUUUUCCAUGUGGGUCUUCAACAUCCAUUGGAUGGAGGUCUUCCACCAGCUUGGAGAACAUUGGUUGAUGAUGGCUGCACAUCUCAGUCUUAACCCUAAUUCUAAUUUUCACUUAAGCAGCAAUUAUAAUUAUCCUUAAGUCAUUCUUUUCAUAAUUGAGAGAAAUCACUAAAAUAGAAUCAGAGUUUACUUGAACCCCUAAAACAGUGCUGACCUCAGAUACCUGGUUGAAUUGGAUCAGAAGAGUUGAGCUCAAAUAUCUUCGUGAGGAGGCGUCAUCAUCAUUCAUUCUCCUGCUGGGAUUCAAAUCCCCCCUACCAUCCUGGAGUCAGUGUUCUGUGACUCUUGCAACAUUAAUUGCUAUUUCAGAUACCACACUCUCAUUCACCGUGAGCUGGUUUCUACAGAAUUUGGCACAUCGACUACAUCUCCUCAUCCCUGACAUGAAUCAGUACACCAGAACUUUAAGAGCUGGAUCAAUCCACCCCUACCAUUCCUGGGAGUCACUUUACACUCUGACUCUUCUACAUUAAUUGGCCAUUUCAGAUACCCCAGUCUCAAUCACUGUGAUGCUGGUUUCUACAGAAGUUGCACGCACCCGACUUACUAUCCUCCAUCUUCCUCAUCCCUGGGAAUCUACUAACUUUUACUUCCCCUCUUGACUUUUCCCUUCACCCAUGCCACUUCUCACAAUUGAGCCGGAUCCAUUACAACCCCAUCCACCUCAUUUCCCUCUCAUACCUGAUUCCGUCAUGUUCCCCAGUCGAUUCAGUAACAGCCGAAACCGUCCCUGAUCUUCAGUUUGAAGCACAGGUUGAGGAAUAUCACAGAACCGUUUUAUCAGUAUUUCCGCCAGUAGAUUCUUUUUAUUUCUAAUCGCUUCAUCAAACGUUUUUAAUCAAAUCUUCUUUCAACCCCUUUAUAGUCAAUUUCCGCCUCUUAAGCUCUUCUUUCAUUUCUGUACCUUCCAUUGAUCCAAUUGGCCGAUUGUCAAGAACUGGAUAUGGCGAUGACACCUUCAUAAUUUCCAAAGUUCCUUUACUAGCAAAACCUCCCCUAAAUAACAGUGAAAGACUUACUGAACAGAAACUCCUGUGUGCAAGCAAUACAUGAACCUAUUUAACAAACUAAAUAAAGCAAAGAAAAAUAUGUGGUUGUCCCAAUAAAGGACAUGAUGAGAUUGGAGCAAGGUCAAAAGUCACUUCCCUCUCAUAUGCCAAUUUAUUAAAAGGUAAUUUUCCUUCUGAAGUAAGUAACUGUUCAACACAUUUAGCAGGGGAAUAUAUUUUACAAGUACCUACUAAUCGUUUUAAAAAUUAUUCCCACAACCCUAAAAUUCGCCAAAUCAGCAUUGCCCAACUUCCCGAGUUUACCAUAACUUUUUCUUGGUGACUAUUUUUAACCAUAAAAUUUUCCUCCAGCUGUUAAGAGAACAUAACCCAGAUGCUAUAUUUUCAAUAACUUUAAUCUAAUACAUUAUACUUAAAAAAGAUAAGACCACCAACAUUGACUCAAGCACCACUAACUACUUGCCUAACAAUGACUGCUUUGUUGCCGCCGCACUGCAAAAUGUACAAACCUGACGAAUCCACCAUUACUGACACAAUACAGUUGCAACCAUAAGG
rnacentral:lncRNA from 1 species